GGGGUGGGGGCUUGCUGUCUACUUGGCGAGCCUUCACUGCCCCCUUCUGUAACUUCCCUUCUUUCGUCCGUCCACGAGGCAGUCAAAAGAAAGAGAGAAAGGGGCGGCUAUAACGCAGGAGUCGUGGCGGUUGUAUGCCACAAGGUCCCUAUAGACAAGGGGACAAGUGAAUCAUCGCUUUUGGGCGCAGGCAGCCCUCUACCAUCCAUCCCAUUGCAUUCCUCUCAUAGAGUACUGUACCGUCUCAGACCAGAUACAUCUAUGGAAAGAAAGGAUUUCAUAGAAAAUAUUCAUUUUUCUCUUUUUUUGGAUCCCCAUGCAUUCCGUUAUUCCCGUAACUAUGGAUUGGAUUGGAUUGGAUUGAUUGAUUGUCCCUACCUAACUAAAUGGUAGUGGUCUAGGGAGCGCAAUUGCUAGAGCACGGGAGAAUGAAGAGUAAUGAUUUAAGCAAGAGCAGCCGGACGGACUACUA
rnacentral:misc_RNA from 1 species